ACGGUUAAGAAAUAGAUGGUACAAAGUCUAAUUUUGCUUCUUUAUGCAAUUUAUUGCUCAUAACCCCAUAAUUAUCAUAAUAGCAAUUUGAUCUUAUCAUCCUUUUCUUAAUGCAAUAAGAAGACAAAUUCUACCUCUUCAAUUACCACCUUCACGGUUAAGAAAUGACUUGGGAUAAGGCCAAAUUUGUUUCAUCCAAUUCCUAUAAGAAUCAAAUUAUAGUUAUCAAGUGACUUAUAAUCCUAUUUUCUUCCUCCUUCUCUUGCAAGUCUUAGCAACAAACAUACUACUUUCCAACCGUUAAAGAAAUACCGCAAUUACUGUCACCCCUCUUCUCCUACUACCGCCUGACCUCUAUCAUCAUCGGUCAACCGUCGCCGCCCCCCGUGUGCGCUGCCUCCCCUGUACUGCCCAAAACCACCCAUCCAUUUCUUUCAUUUUGGGUGAUGCGUGCUAUGUUCUUGCCAAGUUAAAGAUUGGUCUUAUGAAAUCAAGCUCUUAAACUUGUUUAUUUAUACACCCAAAAAGAAUCGAACCUCGGAGCUCAGUGAGAACGAUAGAAUAAAGGCUAACAGGAAGGUUAUCAGACUGUAAAUCGAGGUAACGGCUAUUGCUAGUACCCGCAAUUCCCUUCAAAAUGUGUUUAUAAAAGCAUGAUGUCAAUUUUGAAAGUUAAUUAUAUCUCUGGAUUUAUUGACUUGCGGGAUGAUGAUUGUGUUUAUUAAUGCCUCAGUCUAAUGAUUUAUAUGAAUGAUUUUAUUGAUAAACGUUG